UACGGAGGGUGCAAGCGUUAUCCGGAUUUACUGGGCUUAAAGGGUGCGCAGGCGGCUAUGUAAGUCAGUGGUGAAAUCUCUAGGCUUAACCUGGAAAUUGCCGUUGAUACUAUAUAUCUUGAAUGCUGUGGAGGUAAGCGGAAUAUGUCAUGUAGCGGUGAAAUGCUUAGAUAUGACAUAGAACACCUAUUGCGAAGGCAGCUUACUACGCAAAUAUUGACGCUCAUGCACGAAAGCGUGGGGAGCAAACAGG
rnacentral:rRNA from 1 species